rnacentral:lncRNA from 1 species
GAAAACACUCCCAAAGACAUGCCAUGGGUCAGUCUGAUGGAGUGACAACAUGCAGACUAGCAGGACCAGGAGCUGGAGCAGCAAUGUGCUGCACAACCGAACAGAAGUGAAAUCUGCCUUCCUGGAGACCAUCCCCUGUACAAAAAUGUUUCCCUCUGCAAAUGGCUUCCUUUGUCGGACUGCUGAAAAACAGGUCCAUGUGCCAACAGAAGGAAGGAGCACGGGUUCAGAAAAUGAUUCUGACCCAUCGACUUUCACACUGAGCUGUAUCUAGUGUUUAUUCAAACUAUCAUUUGUUCCAUGUAAUUUUCUAUUUGUUUCAUUU